GACAGAGGGUGCAAACGUUUGUUCGGAAUUACUGGGCGUAAAGCGCGUGUAGGCGGCCCUGCAAGUCGGGUGUGAAAUCCCACGGCUCAACCGUGGAAGUGCACUCGACACUGCAGGGCUAGAGUCCUGGAGAGGAAGGUGGAAUGCUUGGUGUAGAGGUGAAAUUCGUAGAUAUCAAGCGGAACACCGGUGGCGAAGGCGGCCUUCUGGACAGUGACUGACGCUGAGACGCGAAAGCGUGGGGAGCAA
rnacentral:rRNA from 1 species